GGGCCCGCACAAGCGGUGGAGUAUGUGGUUUAAUUCGAUGCAACGCGAAGAACCUUACCAGGGUUUGACAUCCUGCGAAUCUCUUGGAAACAGGAGAGUGCCUUCGGGAACGCAGUGACAGGUGGUGCAUGGCUGUCGUCAGCUCGUGUCGUGAGAUGUUGGGUUAAGUCCCGCAACGAGCGCAACCCACGUCUUUAGUUGCCAGCAUUUAGUUGGGCACUCUAGAGAGACUGCCGGUGAUAAACCGGAGGAAGGUGUGGAUGACGUCAAGUCAUCAUGCCCCUUACAUCCUGGGCUACACACGUACUACAAUGCUACGGACAAAGGGCAGCAAACUCGCGAGAGCUAGCAAAUCCCAUAAACCGUGGCUCAGUUCAGAUCGUAGGCUGCAACUCGCCUACGUGAAGGAGGAAUCGCUAGUAAUCGCAGGUC
rnacentral:rRNA from 1 species